rnacentral:rRNA from 1 species
GCCAGACUCCUACGGGAGGCAGCAGUGAGGAAUAUUGGUCAAUGGGCGCGAGCCUGAACCAGCCAAGUCGCGUGAGGGAAGACGGUCCUAUGGAUUGUAAACCUCUUUUGUCGGGGAGCAAAAGACGCCACGCGUGGCGUUCCGAGAGUACCCGAAGAAAAAGCAUCGGCUAACUCCGUGCCAGCAGCCGCGGUAAUACGGAGGAUGCGAGCGUUAUCCGGAUUUAUUGGGUUUAAAGGGUGCGUAGGCGGGAUGCCAAGUCAGCGGUAAAAAUGCGGUGCUCAACGCCGUCGAGCCGUUGAAACUGGCGUUCUUGAGUGGGCGAGAAGUAUGCGGAAUGCGCGGUGUAGCGGUGAAAUGCAUAGAUAUCGCGCAGAACUCCGAUUGCGAAGGCAGCGUACCGGCGCCAGACUGACGCUGAGGCACGAAAGCGUGGGGAUCGAACAGGAUUAGAUACCCUGGUAC